UUUCAUUCUCUCUCGCCCAAACUCUAUCUCCCAGCUCUUCCUUUUCAAGCUCACCAUUCCUCUUCAUCUUGGCUAUGGAUGGACUUAACAAAUGUAGAAUAAAGGGUUGAAAGGUUUGAGGUUG